UUCCUUGAAAGGUCUUAAAUCUCCUACCUUAAGAUAUUACGCUCAAACCUAACUUAAGCCUUUUGUAGGUAUCAAAUGACGACCCCCAAGGCCAGUGGAUCUACUACCCGACAAGCUCUCAUCAAGGAGGAUCAGAAGAACGAUGAAUUGGAGACCAGGAUCGUGUCCAAGUGGAGCAAUAUUGGAGACACCAAUCUAGGAAACUUCAAUGUGAAGAAGUUUCGGGAAGCACCUUACAUCGGCAAGCCGUCACCUGUUGCGAAGAGGAUAAUUGAGAGUGGCAUCAUCAAGGCCGCAGGUUUCCCUCUUGCAGUCAGGUGUCAUGAGUUGAUGAUUGAAUGUGCCCGACACUAUGAUUCACAUUCAAGGACAAUCAUAGCUGAGGAUGGAACUGUCUUAGCCUACCUUUCAGAGGAAGCUAUAAGUGAAGCUUUACAUCUCCCGGAGUAGAGAGACAUUAUCUACAAAAGUCUGGAAGGAGCUAGGUCUAUCUACAAGGAUGAUCCCGAUUCCUAUUUGAACUUCAUCAACAAGAAUUGGUUACUCAAGAGCAGACCUUGCCUGAACAAGAUUCCCAAUACGCCGCACAAAAUUGAUUUCCAAGAAGAAUUCAAGGACUUGAUAACCAUGCUCAAUCAGGUUACUGGUGCCUCCCAAGCCUUCUUCUUCGACAAAUGGAUGUUCUUCUUCAUACAAGUGAUUGUGCAAGGAAAAGGAAAUCUCAAUUGGGCUAGAAUCAUUAGUAAUAACUUGGACGUGCAGUUGAGGAGGCUAGCCCCUACCAAGUCAUUCCACAUGAGUUCAUGUGUUAUAUAUUCCUUAGUCAGGAGUUUUGAGUAUGCAGGGCUGCCACGCAGAGGAGUUAUUGGAAGAGGACCUGGAGAAAUAAGAGUUUGUGAUUCUUAUCUUCAACUACAUCAUCCGCCAAGGAAUGACUACAAGCUAAUCAAUGACACCUUCACGAUGUAUAUCACCAGGACAUUGCAAGGAGGGAUUCAUCAUCGAUUGUCUGCAGAGGCACAAGAACUCGUGAAGAAGCAUGGUGCAUGGUUCAUUCAGUUUCCAAAAUUCACCUAUAUCAGGGUCCAUGGAUGCCCUUCACCUCCCUAUAUGUUGCCAAGGUAUCCUACAGAUAGGAUAAUAUUACUUGAGGUGACUAGGAAGUUUGCAGCCUAUGCUAGAGCAUCAAGACAUAAGCAUGGAAAUGGAAUCCCUGUACCUAUUCUACUAGGGAGUUCAAUUGAAAGUAUGGCCUAACUCUCAAGCCGUAGAGGAUGCAGAAAAUGAAUUAUCUGUAUGUUCGUUCACAUCCUUUGCCUCAAGGGAGAAUUUUGACCCUCAUGGUCACAUGGAAGAGACAGUCGGGAAUAAGUACAAGCAUGAGUUUCAAGUAGAGGACUUUUGGAUGAAUGUCCAGGAUGAUGUAGAGGUCAAAAGAAAGAUGCAUUCUAGAUUACCCUUGGAUCUCAUCAGGAAAUGUCUACUAGUUUCGAUCUCGAUUUGGCACAUCGGAAACCACUCUAACCACGACAUCGUAUACAAUGAUGGAUUAAAAACUACUAGUUUCGAUCUCGAUUUGGCACAUCGAAAACCACUCUUCAUGCUUUUAUGGUUAUCAAAAUGUCAUCUAAAUGUAUGGUUAUCGAAAUAUCAUCAAUAAUUCAGAUAUUAUUCAUGCCCCCACAUUUGAAUGGUAUUAAGGUCUGACUUCCAUAUUGAUCUUUCAGGAUAUGGAACUUGGAUUCGAAUCCCAAGUUACCGAAUUUACAGAGUAGCCGAUCAAGCCCAGGAUAGUGGUAGAUAUCUCCAAUCUUCCUAUGAGAAGGAAGAUAAAGAAGUGAAGGUAGAUUGGAAUGAGCCCGAAGUUGCAGACUUAAGAGCAUUGAUGGAUCCCGUUUUAAAGUGCACUCGCAGAUGGGUGGACAUACAUCAUCAAAAGUUGAAAGAGCAGAAUGUAUCUAUGACAUUCACCCUGGAAACAAGAACAAAGGAAGGAGAAGCAAGUGUGAGUGAGAAUGCUUCUCAUUCCAAGGGAUCAAAGAGAAAGGAAGGACCUAAGAAGAGAGAACCUUCCAAGAAGAAGCAAAAAGUGAAUCCUGACCGUCCAUCGAGUACAUCUUCUAGGCAUGAGAAGGAAGCAAGUCAAGGAGAAGAUCGGAGACAGAUAGUGUAUGAAAUUGAUGAGUCUAUGGAAUCCAUGGUGCAGAAUGAUAAACAAGGUAAAGGACAAACACCUCAGCAUUCAUCGAGUCAAUCUCUCCAGGAUGGUGCUAAUGAACAACAAGAAGAAAAGAAUGAUGAUGAAGCAACAUCUCCUUUCAGGGAAGAUAGACCUCUGCCUAAAGAAAUACAAGUGAGGGAAAGAAAGUCUUCCAUUCUAGAUUGGCUAAAAGAAACGCUGACAAGGGUAGUUGUGGUCGAAGAGGAAGAACAAGUGUUCGACUUAGAAAGUCUCAUAGGAAGUUCUCAUGAAGAGAUCAAAAAGAGGAAGGCCACAAAGAUGUCAAAAGUAAUUAGAGAUGAAGUAGGAUCCAAAAAGGUACAAAUAGCUACACCAGUGGUAGACAAGUAUGAGGAUGAGAUUCUAGCAGAAGAAUAUGAUCUAGAGACAGUUGAUCUUGGUCCACUUACCUCCGAGCAGGCUAUGGAAGAAGCAACUGAUUCGGUGAGAGCACUUAAUGACAAACUCAAAGAAGAAAUGGAAAAGAAUAAGAAGCUAGAAAGAGAGGUCAGUGCUUGGAGGAAUUAUUUUAGCCAUCUUUAUCAACCUUUGAGACGACAGGAUCUAGCAAUAUCUCCUUUGCAUGCACUUCCUCUUGAAUCAAUAAAUGAGGCAGAAAGGGUAAAGAGUUUGGUCCAACUCAUGAGUUCUUGGAUUGAUGAAUCUUACAAGGUAGCCAUUGAAUUUGCAACAAGAAUGAUGAAGACAGUCCAUCGGGCUAUCCAGGUCCUUGAGAUCAUCCAUAAUCUAAUGAUAACUGUGGAUGCAUUCACUCACACUAGAGAUGUUAUCAUCUCGGUCUUGCAAGUGAUAAGAAGGACAUCGAGACAGAUUCUAGCACAAGAGAAGAUAAUGGAUGGAGAAGCCCAUAGCCUUCUGCAGUGGUCAACUUUGCUCCAGAUGAAGGGAGUUCUUUUCGAAGAUAUCAAUACCAGAUGCAGCCGAGUCGAAGACACCAUCCGACCUAUUCAAGACAAGGUGUUUGAUGUAUUGUGUACAAUCCUUGACAGAAGGAUAGAGAUCGAGACAGAUGUGGAUGUCCAAGAGUUGGAAGGUAGGAUCAAGAGCAUUUUCUGCAAGGAAGAGAGCAUUGUCACAGAAAGGCAAUGAGAUCAGAUGAAUGCUACUAUGUUCCUGAUUGAGAAGACAAAAGAACUUGACCCUGGAUGGGAGGCGACCCUUCUCAUAGCUUUUGAUCAAGUCCUUCACUUGGAAGAACAAAUGAAGAAUCUUCCUGAGAUUCCCAUUGCUGAGAUUGAGAAGAUUACGUCCAGAUUCAUUGAAUAUGCUAGAAAGGAGCAUAGGAAAGGGAACAAAGUUCUAGAUGAAAAGUUAUUGUUAAAUGACGUGGCAACUUAAUUCCUAUUGGGCUAUGUCUCCUCGUUAUUUGUGCCAAUUCCUAUUGGCUAUGGAUUGAUAAUGUUUAUCUAAAUGGGGACUUUUUUGUAACAAACCCUAAUUAGGGUUUAGGUGUCAAAAUCUCAGCCAUUGAUCUUCUUUUGAUCCAGGUCGUUCAUUGUAUUUGAGAGUGCUAUAUAAGCCCUCACUCAUUUCAUUUCAGGGUUAAAGAGAGUUAGAGAGAGAGUUAGAGAGAGAGAUUUAGAAUUUAUAAGUUUAAUAUUGUCAGCAGCAGAAAAAUAAGUAGUGAAGAGAGAAAGUUGAACAAUUGUUGUUUUAUUUGGCUAUGAGAUCAAUGAAAUAUUGAAGUUAUGGUGUUUUAUUGCAAUCCUUGUGGCUAUUUUCAUGGUUGUUUAUCUUCUUGAAUCACUCUUAGUAGAGAUAGCAUUUAGGUUUUAAGUUUGAAGGACGAAUGUUGUGCUUAAUCUUUGAUAAGAUUCAUAUUCCAAACCACUAGCUCCUUACUGAUUGUAAGUACGCCCUGUGUGGUCAACUGGAAACAUUGAGAUUGUUUAAGAAGUUCAAUCAUUGUUGGAGGCAUUGAUAUGUAUCUUACUGAUAGUGUCUAUCCCCUUGGUGAUUUGAAAAUCAUUGAAUCCCCUUAGAAGAUCACACCAAUUCCAGUGGAGGAGUAAUCUUUUGGCAAUACUGAAAUUGGUAGAGUUUUAUGAAGAGCAAUCAUCACUGAGUCAUUCUUAGGAUUAGUUUAGUCUCGCCUCCUUAAAACCUUUAUCUUUUGAUCUUUUUGAAACAUCAGUUAGUAUUAAGAGAAUCCUAUUUCCUCAUUAGAAAAGUAAUCACACGAACAAGCUUUCCUUGAAAGUACGUAAGGCCCCUUGUAAAACAGUAAACACAACGAGCACUGGUGCUUAUCCACGAGUAGAGAUCCUACAUAACAGAACCUUGAAGUUCUUCCGAUUGAUCCUUCUGCGAUAUCUUCAGCAUUCGGGAACUCUACUCAAGAGAGGAUAAGAUACCUCUGGGUAUUUUAUUCUGUGUUUGGUCGUGUACAAAAGACACAUCAACAAGAACCAACCAAAGUUUCUUCAUUACAAAAAUCAAGGAGUACCAAUGGGAUGCAUUCCUUGUUGACCUUAUGAAACUCUGUAAAGAACCCAUUCAUUCCAGGAGCUUUCUCAGUUUAAAAGGUGCCAAUCACUUUCUUAAUUUUAUCUACUGUAAAUUGUAAUAUCAAAAUCCAACACAGUAAGAAGAGUGAAGUCAAGCUUCUUGGGUACCAUCUCAGGGAUGAGCUCCCUAGCUUCAAGGGCUUGAGCAUCCAACUUCCUAGAAGUAAAAAUAUUAUUAUAGAAUGAUUGGAAGGCAAUUCUAAGCUGCUCACCAUCUUCAUCCAGUACAACUUCAAUCUCUAUAGCAUCAAUCUUUUCUCUAGAGUUCAACCAUUUCAUUUUGGGUCCGAGUCUAUCACUUCUCCCCAACUAGUUCUGCACACACUUUAUUUGUUGUUUCAAAUUCAUAGCACUUUCUUGAGGAGCAAGUUCAUGGGGGUAAUUUUGUAAAUUUUCAUCCAUACUAAAAAUCUUUUCCUGAUUCUAUAAGACUCCAUUAUAUAUUUAGCUUUUGUUCUCACCAUACAUUCUCUAAAAUUUUUGGGCAACUUCAAUAGCAUCCUCCCACCUGACAAUAUUAGCCCUUCAAUACGUGCUUGAUCCUUAAGAUGGGAGACAUUGAGUUUAUAUAACCCUUCAAAUUAUGGAACAUUAAAUUGGGCAGAGUUAAUACAUGUUCCCACAAGUAAAUCAGCCUUUCAAUACAUGCUUGAUCCUUAAGAUGGGAGACAUUGAGUUUAUAUAAGCCUUCAAAUUCUGGAACAUUAAAGUGGGCAGAGUUAUUAUGGAACUUCAAUUCAAUAGGACGAUGAUCUGAAAGAGUAUCAGGAAUGAUCUUAAUCACAUUAGAGUCAAUACUUGGAAGAGUCCUAAAGAAAAUUGUGUCAUGGUAAAAUUUGUUUGAUCUAGAGUAAACCCUUUCAUUGCCACCCUGAAACUUACUCCAGGUAUACCAAAUACCUUUACUAUAAGAUUUACCUUGAAAAAAUGGAUCCCCAAUAUUCUUUUUCCUCCUGAAUAUAGAUCAGAAAAAAGUUAAUUGCCUUAAAAGUCAAAAGAGUUCCCUCCAUUUUAACUUAUCUUCUAUCAUGUUCAAAUCCCUCCCAAUAACCUAAGGGACAUCUUUCAGAUCUAGAACUAAUCAAUUCCACAAAUCAACCCUCUGUAUAGUCAUUAGGUGCAUAAACAGAACAUAGACGAAACUUCUUAUUGUCAAUAGUCAAUAGGGUUCAAAUAAUCCUAUUAUAGGGAGAAUAACCAAUUCAGUAGCAAAUGCAAUGACUAGUAGUUAAUAAGGAUGGAAGUGCACCCUCUACCCUUGCAUUAUUCAGUUGAAAAUUUGAAAAACAAGAAGCACUGGACCAAAUAGUGUGAAGAGAACUUUCAAAACCAAACUCAACAGCUUUAACUACUUGGAAAAGCAAAAAAUAUAACUCUUUUUUUGACCAGCAAAAGGACAUAAGGAUAUAUGUCCUACAGGGGCUCCGAUUCCCCUAAUAUUCCAGCUAAUGAUCUUCAUAACCAUCUAGACAAUAGCAGGUUAAAGGAAGGGACUGAGCUCUUUCCAUCCUUUACAAAGCCUUUCAACACAAGGGGAGAGUUUGUUUUCUUUCCCUUUACGGUUCUUAGAGCUGCUUCCUAAACCUUUAUUAAUACUCAUCUUUUUCAAGGAUGCACCAGACAACUUAUUGCUUUCGUUGUCAGAAAUCAUAAGUGAAGGGCUAUUGAUGUCAGAGAACUCAUUAUUGCUGGAAAGUAUCUGCCUCUUUACAGGGGACUUUUUAGAAAUAUCUCUAUUGGGGAUAUCUCCUCAGUCCUCUAAAGCCUUUUCUUUACAUAAACUUGUUGACUAGCCAAUUGGGGAAAAUUGGGGUUUGGAAUGUGGCACCACAUGGACAGGCUGCUUGGGAGGACUAGAUCACCACCAAUUCCCUUUAGAAUAGAAUCACAAAUACUCUGCAUAGCAGUUUUAGAAUAGAAUCACAAAUACUAUGCAUAGCAGUUUUAAGGGUUAUCUUUUAGGGCUGAAUCAUUUUAGGGGAGGUAGAGCACUUCAUCUGGGCAUCUCCUUGUUCAAACAAGGCAGAGAGGCUUCUUUCUUAUACCAUUUUAGCACUCCCAUUAUCAUCAUUCCUAUGGACACAAUUUCCUUCACAUAGAACAUCAUCUCCUUUAUUAUUCAAGGGUAGUCUAUUUUUCAACAACAAAGAGCAGUCCUUACUAACAGGGCUAUUUUUUUAAUAUAAAAACAAGAGUUUAAUCCUUCAGCCUGUUAACUUUGCAUGAAAAAUCAGAGCCAUGAAGCUACUCAGUAGAGGCCAUGUGCUUGACUUCCAAGUGUUAUUUUCUAAAAGGUUUUGUUAAAAUCCCUCAUCUUCUUUCACAGUAAAUCCAGAAGACUCCUCUGGCUGUGCAUAUUGGUUCUCACUUAUUGUUGUAGUCACUCACAAAGGUUCAGCUCUUGUUUACUUUCCAGCAUCAAACAUAGUUGCUGCUACAAUUAGGCAUAGUUUCCUGCAACAUAUUUCCAAACUUGGUUAAUUUUCCAUUCGAAAAAUUCAUUUUCUCCAUUGACUUUGGUGCCUUUAUAGUUUAUACCCAUUGGCAGAUGUUAAGUUCCUUCAAUUCCGCUUUAGCGAUGGGAGGGCAUCUGAAACAAGGGCGACACAAGGAUAGAACAACUGGCGCUAUUCAGGUCUCUUUUAAUAUUUCUCAUAUAAGUGUAUGAAGUUUGAACCAAGGGACAGCCAGCAAGAAACUAAAUGCCUUUGGGACAACCUAUUGCUGUUUCAUCUUUUAUUAAGGUCCUUCUUAAAGCCUGUCAAAUCCUUGCAUAUUCUCUUAUAUUUUGACUCAUGCAAAUUUGGAAGUCCCUAAUGAAGAUAUUGAUGCUCAUAUGGAGGUGAUGAAUGACUUGUUUGAGUCUUAUUUAAUAUCUGAUAUGUGAUUGCCAUUAAUGCCUGUUGGACCAUAAGGGCCCCACUGUUGUGAUAUCUGUGGUGGUCAGCAUCUUUAGUUGGUUCUCAGAGUGUGGUUUUGGGUAGUGCUGUCCUUUUCUAUGUUUCUCUGGGUGCUUGGUAUGCAGUUUUCUUAAGUUCAUUGACUGGGUUAUAUAAUUCUCUUAGGAAAAUUGCACUCAUUCUAGUAUCUGUUAUGGAACAGUACUAAAUUAUAUAGACAUGCUUUUAUCUAGCAAAAUAAACUAAAAUGUUUUUUAUAAUCCAUGAAUAUAAAUGAUGCCUCCCUUUCAAUUUAUGGUCAGUUUGUUUUAUUAAAAUUCCCCAUGGUUCCAAGCAGUGAAUAUUGUCAUGCAGAAUGAUUGGAAGCACAGUUUCAUGGAAUGGCAAGGACUUUCCUAAUCCGCAUCUUAAUAUGGCUCCCAAAAUGUUCAUGUUCUCUUAGGAUGCUGUGGAAUCCUUUGCAUAUAUCAAGCCAUUCUUGUAUUUAAUUUGUUUUAUCUUCAAUUUAUAUACCUCAAUAUAUACUUCUAGGUCAAUUUUUUAGUUGUACAUAUUAUUAUUACAGGCCCACUUCCUUAUCUGAGAUCUCAGGUUCUGAUGCCAUUGUGGUACUCUUUAGCUAUGGUCUAGAAUGCAGGCUAUGUUUAUGAUUAAUAUAAUAAUCAUUUCCAUACAAUUCAUAAGCAUAAAUACUCACUGCUCACAUAUCUUUGCAGAUUAACAUAAUUAGAUCAUCUGCUGCUUUUUGAGCCAUUCAAAACUUACUCCAUGAUUUUGGUUUUCUUUUUUACAUUUUUUUAUUUCUAUUAUGUAGGUAUACCAAACAUUAUAACGCUUUUUGAACAUCUGUUACAAGAGAAAGCAAAGAUGUAAAAUUAUUGGAAAACAUGGAGCAAUAUCCCAGAGUUCUAUGAUGGAUUUAGAUUAAAGUUGAAUUGAGUUGGUUCUCGGAACUCAUGUAAAGUCAGCUGAUGUAAAGCGGAAGACGUUGUUAACUGCAGCUGGGGAAACCAUUACGUUCAAAAUUUUAAUUGUUGCAACUGGGGCCCGGGUUUUGAAGCUUGAGG